GAUGAACGCUAGCUACAGGCUUAACACAUGCAAGUCGCGGGGCAGCAGGGCGUCAGCUUGCUGACGUUGCUGGCGACCGGCGCACGGGUGCGUAACGCGUAUCCAACCUACCCAUGAGUCAGGAACAGCCCGGCGAAAGUCGGAUUAAUGCCUGAUGCCGUGUGAAGAUGGCAUCUGAUUCACACGAAAGGCCUUGGCCGCUGAUGGAUGGGGAUGCGUACGAUUAGGUAGUAGGCGGGGCAACGGCCCACCUAGCCAUCGAUCGUUAGGGGUUCUGAGAGGAAGGUCCCCCACACUGGUACUGAGACACGGACCAGACUCC
rnacentral:rRNA from 1 species